rnacentral:lncRNA from 1 species
AUGAUCAUUAUACCAGGUAAACAAACAGUUCUGACUGCAGCUGUAGGAAUCAUAGUGGUUGUUCUGGUUCUCAUCCUCUGUCUCUCUGGCUUCAUGUGGUUCAGGAAGAAGGCCUCUAAUUCCCCCUCUGACACAAGAGACACAGCAGACGAUGGACAGGGAGACACUAGUCCAGUGUAUGACAACAUCUCAGGCAUGGCCUUCACCCCUACUGCAGCACAGACAGCUGACACAGACAACCAGGAUGAUGUUCACUACUCCAGCGUCCACUUCUCUCACUCCAAAAACCAGGAAGUGCCUCUGUACUCCACCGUCCAGCUGCCUCAACCACAGAUACAAGACGAAGAUGUCCAAUACGCUGCUGUGAAAUUCAACCUCCCCGGUGCUGCCACCCAACCCGUGGCGGCACAAACAGCUGAGAAGGACCCCUCUGAGAUCUACAGUAGAAUCAACAAACCCAGAACCAAGAAGUCCUGAACACAACAAACCCAGAUCCAAGAAGACCUGAACUCAACAAACCAAGAACCAAGAAGACCUGAACACAACAAACCCAGAACCAAGAAGACCUGAACACAACAAACCAAGAACCAAGAAGACCUGAACACAACAAACCCAGAACCAAGAAGACCUGAACUCAACAUACCCAGAACCAAGAAGACCUGAACUCAACAAACCAAGAAGACAUGAACACACCAAACCCAGAACCAAGAAGACCUGAACUCAACAUACCCAGAACCAAGAAGACCUGAACUCAACAAACCAAGAAGACCUGACCUCAACAAACCCAGAACAAAGAAGACCUGAACUCAACAUACCCAGAACCAAGAAGACCUGAACUCAACAAACCAAGAAGACCUGACCUCAACAAACCCAGAACAAAGAAGACCUGAACACAACAAACCCAGAACCAAGAAGACCUGAACACAACAAACCCAGAACCAAGAAGACCUGAACUCAACAAACCAAGAAGACAUGAACACAACAAACCCAGAACCAAGAAGACCUGAACACAGCAAACCCAGAACCAAGAAGACCUGAACUCAACAAACCCAGAACCAAGAAGACCUGAACUCAACAAACCAAGAAGACCUGACCUCAACAAACCCAGAACCAAGAACGCCUGAACAUAACAAACCCAGAAGACCUGAACUCAACAAACCAAGAAGACCUGAACACAACAAACCCAGAACCAAGAAGACCUGAACACCACAACUUCAGAACCAAGAAAACCUGAACACAACAAACCCAGAUCCAAGAAGACCUGAACUCAACAAACCAAGAACCAAGAAGACCUGAACACAACAAACCCAGAACCAAGAAGACCUGAACACAACAAACCCAGAACCAAGAAGACCUGAACACAACAAACCCAGAACCAAGAAGACCUGAACACAACAAACCCAGAACCAAGAAGACCUGAACUCAACAAACCAAGAAGACCUGACCUCAACAAACCCAGAACCAAGAAUGCCUGAAAACAAAAAGUUUAACAAAAACCUUGUACUCUAUAUAUACGAAAGUGGACACCCCUUCAAAUGAGUGGAUUUGGCUAUUUCAGCCACACCCGUUGCUGACAUAUGUAUAAAAUCGAGCGCACAGUCAUUCAAUCUCCAUAAACAAACAUCGGUCCUUAGCCCUGGAUACAGCCCUUAGCCGUGGUAUAUUGCUAUUAUAAACUGGUUACCAACAUAAAUAGAAAAGUAAACACGUACACUAACUGGUUUACAAUAAUAUAUACCAUCUAGCAGACACUUUUAUCCAAAGUCAUUCACUCAUUCAUUACAGUCAUGGGAGCAUAAAUCUUUCAUAUGGGUAGUCCCAACAGGAAUGGAACCUCCGAGCCACACUCUACCAACCGAGUCACACAGAACUACUCUAUUCACACUCAGAGUACGAGUGCUGAUCUAGGGUCAGUUUUGACUUUUAGACUACGAUUAAUAAGAAAGGGGCAUUGUAAAUAUUUAGAAAAGUAUAUAUGUAUUUUAAAAAAUAUUUUUUUAAGUAACAGUAAACUCAGAAUCUAACGACAAGAACUUUUGACAAAAAAUGUAGAUAUCUGAAUUAGGCAGCCUCGAUGUCCAGUUAUAGUUUAUAUAACUAUAUUUUGUUAUAUGUUAUCUGUCAGAAAGAAUCAUCAAACAUAUGAGACUAUUGCGUUUCAGGUAAGACCAAAAUGCAGACUGUGUUGACGUAACAAUGUUUACUACAGCAACAGGGGCAGGCAAACGUCAGGUCAAGACAGGCAGAGGUCGAUAAUCCAGAGUAGUGGGGCAAGGGUACAGGACGGCAGGCAGGUUCAGGUCAGGCAGGCUCAGGGUCAGGUCAGGUAAGGGUCAAAACCAGAAAGGCGAGAAAAAGAGACUGGGAAAAAGCAGGAGCCGAGACAAAACGCUUUUUGACUUAACAAACAAGACGAACUGGCAACAGACAAACAGAGAACACAGGUAUAAAUACACAGGGGAUAAUGGGGAAGAAGAGUGACACCUGGAGGAGGGUGGAGACAAGCACAAGGACAGGUGAAACAAAUCAGGGAGUGACAGAGACUAUAUAUGAAGUCUAACAACAAUAGUUAUUCUGUUCUAUUAUAUUGUAAUAGUUUAUAUGGUAUUGUUAGAUGAUACAAAAAAUGCUAAUUGAUAUGACAAAGUUACGGCACAAAUGUUCCUCAAUGUCCAGGAAAAAGUUAUGCUUGAUGCAACAUUCCUUAUUGCUUUAAAAAGAAUAAUGUGUGAAGUGUGAUAU